rnacentral:rRNA from 1 species
GAUGAACGCUGGCGGCGUGCCUAAUACAUGCAAGUCGAGCGAACAGACGAGGAGCUUGCUCCUCUGAUGUUAGCGGCGGACGGGUGAGUAACACGUGGAUAACCUACCUAUAAUACUGGGAUAACUUCGGGAAACCGGAGCUAAUACCGGAUAACAUGUUGAACCGCAUGGUUCAACAGUGAAAGACGGUCUUGCUGUCACUUAUAGCUGGAUCCGCGCCGCAUUAGCUAGUUGGUAAGGUAACGGCUUACCAAGGCAACGAUGCGUAGCCGACCUGAGAGGGUGAUCGGCCACACUGGAACUGAGACACGGUCCAGACUCCUACGGGAGGCAGCAGUAGGGAAUCUUCCGCAAUGGGCGAAAGCCUGACGGAGCAACGCCGCGUGAGUGAAGAAGGUCUUCGGAUCGUAAAACUCUGUUAUUAGGGAAGAACAAAUGUGUAAGUAACUAUGCACGUCUUGACGGUACCUAAUCAGAAAGCCACGGCUAACUACGUG